UGGGGAAUCUUGCACAAUGGAGGAAACUCUGAUGCAGCGACGCCGCGUGAGCGAAGAAGCCUUUCGGGGUGUAAAGCUCUUACGCCAGGGACGAUAAUGACGGUACCUGGAGAAGCAGCUGCGGCUAACUACGUGCCAGCAGCCGCGGUAAUACGUAGGCAGCAAGCGUUGUUCGGAAUUACUGGGCGUAAAGGGUGCGUAGGCGGCGCUCUAAGUUUGGUGUGAAAUCUCCCGGCUUAACUGGGAGGGUGCACUGAAAACUGGGGCGCUCGAGUAUGGGAGAGGAAAGCGGAAUUCCUGGGGUAGCGGUGAAAUGCGUAGAGAUCAGGAGGAACACCUGCGGUGCAGACGGCUUUCUGGACCAUCACUGACGCUGAGGCACGAAAGCGUGGGUAGCAAACA
rnacentral:rRNA from 1 species